rnacentral:rRNA from 1 species
GACGAACGCUGGCGGCGUGCUUAACACAUGUCAGUCGAACGGAAAGGCCCUGCUCUUGUGGGGUGCUCGAGUGGCGAACGGGUGAGUAACACGUGAGUAACCCGUCCUUGACUUUGGGAUAACUUCAGGAAAAUGGGGCGAUUACAGGAUAGGAGCUCUUGCUGCACGGUGGGGGUUGGAAAGUCUCGGCGGUUGGGGCUGGACUCGCUGCUUAUCAGCUUGUUGGUGGGGUAGUGGCUUACCAAGGCUGUGACGGGUAGCCGGCCUGAGAGGGUGACCGGCGACAUGGGGACUGAGAUACGGCCCAGACUGCUACGGGAGGCAGCAGUGGGGAAUAUUGCACAAUGGGCGGAAGCCUGAGGCAGCAACGCCGCGAGCGUGAUGACGGCCUUCGGGUUGUAAACCGCUUUCGCCGGUGACGAAGCGUGAUUGACGGUAAUGGGUAAGGAAGCACCGGCUAACUACGUG